rnacentral:rRNA from 1 species
UGGGGAAUUUUCCGCAAUGGGCGAAGGCCUGACGGAGCAAUACCGCGUGAGGGAGGAAGGCUUUUGGGUUGUAAACCUCUUUUCUCAAGGAAGAAGAUCUGACGGUACUUGAGGAAUCAGCAUCGGCUAACUCCGUGCCAGCAGCCGCGGUAAUACGGAGGAUGCAAGCGUUAUCCGGAAUGAUUGGGCGUAAAGCGUCUGCAGGUGGCUAUGCAAGUCUGCUGUUAAAGAGUGGAGCUCAACUCCAUAAGGGCAGUGGAAACUGCGUAACUAGAGUACGUUCGGGGUAGAGGGAAUUCCUGGUGUAGCGGUGAAAUGCGUAGAUAUCAGGAAGAACACCAGUGGCGAAAGCGCUCUACGGGGCCAGAACUGACGCUGAGGUACGAAAGCUAGGGGAGCGAAAGGGAUAAGAUACCCCCGU